AACGAACGCUGGCGGCAUGCCUAACACAUGCAAGUCGAACGAGACCUUCGGGUCUAGUGGCGCACGGGUGCGUAACGCGUGGGAACCCGCCCUUAGGUUCGGAAGAACUCCCCGAAAGGGGUGCUAAUACCGGAUAAUGUCUUCGGACCAAAGAUUUAUCGCCUUUGGAUGGGCCCGCGUUGGAUUAGCUAGUUGGUAGGGUAAAAGCCUACCAAGGCGACGAUCCAUAGCUGGUCUGAGAGGAUGAUCAGCCACACUGGGACUGAGACACGGCCCAGACUCCUACGGGAGGCAGCAGUGGGGAAUAUUGGACAAUGGGCGAAAGCCUGAUCCAGCAAUGCCGCGUGAGUGAUGAAGGCCUUAGGGUUGUAAAGCUCUUUUACCCGGGAUGAUAAUGACAGUACCGGGAGAAUAAGCUCCGGCUAACUCCGUG
rnacentral:rRNA from 1 species